ACGUAGGGUGCGAGCGUUGUCCGGAAUUAUUGGGCGUAAAGGGCUCGCAGGCGGUUUCUUAAGUCUGAUGUGAAAUCUUGUGGCUUAACCACAAGCGGUCAUUGGAAACUGGGAGACUUGAGUACAGAAGAGGAGAGUGGAAUUCCACGUGUAGCGGUGAAAUGCGUAGAUAUCGGGAGGAACACCUGUGGCGAAAGCGGCGCACUGGACCACUACUGACGCUGAGGAACGAAAGCUAGGGGAGCAAACAGGA
rnacentral:rRNA from 1 species